rnacentral:other from 1 species
GGCGAACUGCGCUUCCCGACAGGUGUAACAGCAUCCCCCCCGGGGCCUUAUUGAUCUCUAAGGGAGCUGUCCCUGUGAAGGCUUGCGGGCUUUCGCAUAUGGCGCCCACCUACUUUGUAGGUUCCCGGGAUCAAUCACUACCAUCGGUCGUCGUGGUCGCCG